AGUAAUUACAGAUUAUGCAGCCGAUAAC
rnacentral:sRNA from 1 species